UUUCCAGUUUCAAACAGUUUU
rnacentral:piRNA from 1 species